rnacentral:tRNA from 1 species
GGGGCUGUGGCUCAGUGGCAGAGCGCUUGCCUUGCACGCAUGAGGCAAUGGCUCGAUCCUUAGCACCA